UCUCCUGGAAACGGGUGGUAAUGCCGGAUGUUCCACAUGAUCGCAUGUGAUUGUGGGAAAGAUUCUAUCGGCGUGGGAUGGGGUCGCGUCCUAUCAGCUUGUUGGUGAGGUAACGGCUCACCAAGGCUUCGACGGGUAGCCGGCCUGAGAGGGCGACCGGCCACAUUGGGACUGAGAUACGGCCCAGACUCCUACGGGAGGCAGCAGUGGGGAAUAUUGCACAAUGGGCGCAAGCCUGAUGCAGCGACGCCGCGUGAGGGAUGGAGGCCUUCGGGUUGUAAACCUCUUUUGUUUGGGAGCAAGCCUUCGGGUGAGUGUACCUUUCGAAUAAGCGCCGGCUAACUACGUGCCAGCAGCCGCGGUAAUACGUAGGGCGCAAGCGUUAUCCGGAUUUAUUGGGCGUAAAGGGCUCGUAGGCGGCUCGUCGCGUCCGGUGUGAAAGUCCAUCGCUUAACGGUGGAUCUGCGCCGGGUACGGGCGGGCUGGAGUGCGGUAGGGGAGACUGGAAUUCCCGGUGUAACGGUGGAAUGUGUAGAUAUCGGAAAAAAAACA
rnacentral:rRNA from 1 species